GGUCGUCUAGCUCAGCUGGUAGAGCGGCUGUCUAACACGCAGCGGGUCGGGAGUUCGAUCCUCUCGGCGACCA
rnacentral:tRNA from 1 species